GCAAUCUGGUCAUAGGCCUGCUACAGCAUGGCAAGAGAGAAGGUAAGGCUGUCUCAUGGGAUAGCCAUGCCCAUUUGGAGUGGCAGAGGCUCCUUCCAAAGGUGCAAGCACAGUAGUAUGGGACCACUUUUCAUCAGGAGCAGCAAAGAUGGCAACAGGGCAUCCCUCACCAGAAGUAGGGGUAGCAGGAGGAGUGUCCCAAAUACCUCCUCUAGAGCUAAGGUGUUGAGGUGGGCUAGACCUUCUGCACUUCAGCUGCCACACAGUCCUGCCAGGAUGGCAUUGGCAGGGUCAGAAAUUCCCAUCCAUCUCAAUGGAAAGGAAGUACUUGUCUUCCCCCUCUCCUUCAGUGCUAUCAUCUCCAUCAAUCUGCAGACCUCUGCAAACACUGCUGCAUCAAUUAAGUCUCACUGCAAAGGUUGGAAGGCUAUUAAAUGAAAGCUAAAAUUUUGAGAUUUGCAUGACUUCAUGGCCAUGCCUAGGGCCCUAGAUUUUGAGUAUCUCAUCUUUAUCCUAACAUCUUUCUACUCCUCAGUAUUCUUCUGGCCAGUGUCCACAUUGUGAAUAAUGCAGUGUAGUUUUGUUACUUAUCUUGUUCUGCUUUAGAACUCUGGUUUUGCCCAACCCUUCCCUGAAGUCUUAGCCCUGUAAAAAGUCUGCAGCAACUGAUGAGUUACCUAUGAGAACUGAACUAAGCAGUCGACAAAGUUGUUUUGCAAAAUUAGCCUCCAGGAGAAAACAUUUCCAAACUGAUCAAAUAUGGAAGUGUUCUAAAUAGAUCCUCAGACUUGUAGGACCAGAAAGGCAUAUUUGGCUGUCCACUGUGAAUUCUUCCUCCCUCCCAGAAGCUACAGUACUGCUUUCCUGCAGAAGAUGCAAAAAGUCUAUCCAGGCCAGACUGGUUAAACACUGCUUCCCCCUCUUCUCCCCCUCCCCCCUCUAAAAUGUUACCUUCUACUUAACACUGUUUGGAAGAUUUUUCUGUCUUUAACUUUUUAUAUAGUUCUUGCUUCCCCUAUUUUGUGGACUUGCCAUACAGCAAUAGGAGGAACUCCUCUUUAGUUUUCAGGAAGAGUUCAUACUUUAAUCUCCUGGGAAGACUGGAGGAGGAAGGUGUAGAAAAAGGAACUAGAAAACUGACCGUUCCUCUAAACCUAAUCCUAGUCAUGUGCCUGUCAGACAAGAAUAAGCUGUACUUCUGCCUUCCUGCUGGAAUUGCACGCUACAUUGCAGAAAACAUAAUUGGACCCCUACAAGAUCAGCACAUUCUUAAGCCACACAAAAUGUCUGAGAAACUCAGUGGGAAGUCUUGACUGGCAAGCUAGUGACCAUAUCUGCACAACUUUUGUAUUCCUUUUCUGCCAUCCCAUAUAAAGGGGUUUUAGGACCAGGUGGAAUUCACCAAGAGUUCUGAAGGAAUUCAAAUAUGAAACUGCAGAAUUACUAACUGGGGUAUGUAACCUAUCACUUAAACCAGCUUCUGUACCAGAUGACUGGAGGAUAGCUAAUGUAUUGCUUUGUGCUUAAAAAGGCUUCAGAGGCAAGCCUGGCAAUUAGACUAGUAAGUCUAACUUUAGUACCAGGGAGACUGGUUGAAACUCUAGUAAGAAACGGAAUUAUCAGACGUAUAUGAACACAUGUUGGAGAGUCAACAUGAGUUUUGUGAAAGGAAAUCCUGCCUCAAUCUAUUGGAAUUCUUUGAGGGUCUCAGCAAGCUUUGAUCCAGUUGAUAUAGUACUUUGUCAUAAAUCCUUUGACAAGGUCCCCAUCAAACACUCUUAAGCAAAGUAAGCUGUCAUGGAAUAAGAAGGAAGGGCUCAUGUCUCGGUAACUGGUUAAGAGACAGGAAACAAAGGGUAGAAAUGGUCCAUUUUCACAAUGGAGAGCAAAAUAGGGUUGCCCAGGGAGCUGUCAUGGGACCUGUACUUUUAACAUAUUCAUAGAUCUGAAUAAGAUUAAACAGUGAUCUUAAGUGGUAAACAAAGCUUGCAGGUGAUGCAUCUGCUCAAUGUGUUAGCUUUGGCAGCUACUACAAUCCUAGGAACCACUAGGAAAGGAUAAAGAAGACAAUCAUUAUGCUACUAUAUAAAUCCACAGUACACCCACGCUGAAUAGAGCAUGCCAUUCUGGUUGCCCCAUCUCAAGAUGUAUUAGAAUUGCAAAAGGUGCAGAGAAGAGCAACAAAUGAUUAGCGGUAUAGAAGCUUUUUUUUGUACAAGGAGAGAUUAAAAAGACUAGAACUGUUCCCCUUAGAAAACUGACUAAGAAGGGAAUAUCUAUAAUCUCAAAUGGUGUGUGGAAAACAAAUCAGGGAAACAUUUACCCUUUCACAUGAUACAAAAAUCAGGUCACCCAAUGAGGCUAAUAAACAGGAGGCUUAAAACAAACAUAAGGAAGUACUUCAACCAAUGCAGUCAACUUGUGGAGCUCAUUGCCAGGGGAUGUUGUGAAGGCAAAAAAUGUAACUAGGUUUUUUUUAUCAUCCUAAGUCUAUGGAGGAUGUGUCCAUUAGUGGCUAUUAGCCAAGAUGUUCGGGGACACAAUCCUACACUCUACAUGUCUCAACCUCUGGUGUCCAGAAGCUAAGACUAGGGGAUGGAUCACUUGAUGACUAUCUUGUUCUGUUCACUCUCUCUGAAGCACCUGGCACUGGCCACCGUCCAGAUACGGGGCUAGCUGGACUAUUGGUCUGACCAAUAUCGUUGUUCUUAUGUUCUCAGUCUCAGCAGAAAGUUGUGCCAUCUCCUGAAGUUUGCCAAAAUCAGAAUCCAAUUUUGAAUACACUAAACUUAUAGCUUACUACAUCCUACCAGUGUAGAAUUUUCCUAUUGCCAGCUAAGGGCUGACUAAAUCUAAACCCCUUAUCUCCACCUAAUAACUACAGGAGCAAGAAACUGACUAGUUCCUGUCCAUAUAACUAAAACAUGCUUUCCAAAAGCACAACUUCAAACUUAAAUAAUCACAUGAGAGGAAUCUUUAGUGCUUCUGUGAUUACAAGAAUAUGGCGUGUGGGGAAACUGAUCUUAUUAGCAGGUUGAAACUACAGAAACCUUUGACUCCCUGUUAGUUUCUCUUCCUUCUGUUUUCCUGCAAAAUAGCUAGUCCAAAGUAUUUUUAUUGGGGGCAGAAUGUAUCCAAAAUCAUAACACAGUAUGGUUCUAGAAAUGCAUUCAUUUUUAAGGCUCUCCAAUUGUAUCCUAAGGCAACUAGAAAUCUAGUGGUGUAACUAUGAAGCAAAAACCUAUUACAAUUUUGCCUGGGUGGAGGAAGGUCAGAAUUUACAUGUCUGAGGUCUCUGAUAAGUGAAAUGGUUACAAUAUUGCUGACAACUUAACAUUUGUAUUUUAUGCAAGAAGUGGAAGCUGUCUGGGUCUGUCAGGGACCAACAAUCAUAGAUUCAAAGGCCAGUUAGACUAUAGGAUGGGGUGGGCAAACUUUUUGGCCCAAGGGCCAUAUCAGGGUGAAAAAAUGUAUGCAGGGCCAGGUAGUGAAGGCUGUGCCUCCCCAAACAGCUGGAUCCCCACUCACUGUCCCCGACCACUCCCCAGGACCCCAUUCAUCCAAUCCUCCGGCCCCC